ACCCUCUGGAGAAUUCCCUCUGCUGGGCCAAGUUCCAAAAAUGUAGAGACAGACCCUCUAUUGUUUCUUUCAAAACCUGCUGUGGUGGUUUAAAGACUGACCCUCUGUAAGUGCAUCUCUCCAAUCAAGUGUUUACCUUUCAUGUUCACAUCACACAGCCACUG